CAUAGUUGAAGUGUACCAUGUAGCGUAGAUUUUCCAUAGGGUUAUUUUUCAUUUGAUGUAUGCUCGUUUCCAUUUCAUUAGGAGAUAGUGUCUUCAUUUUCAUUUCUUCACAAAUUGACUCUAAAGUUCUAAGUGGAUGAUUAAACAGGGGAUGAUGGUUGAAUUUGCAAAGAAUGUGGCUGAUUUUGCCGCUGCUAGUGGAAAAAAGCACAUUGUUGUGCUUUCUAGCUUAGAUUUUGGACGGUGGCAAACAAUUGAUAUGUCAAGAUAUUUCCCGAGUAGGUUUGCUUCUUAUGGAAUGCAUGCCUGUGAAGAAUGCGACUAACUUUUGUUUUUUAUUUAUGUUAUUUUGAAUUGUGAACAACAUUAUGUAUUUAAAUAUUAUAUAUGUAUUAUGCAACAUUAUGUAGUGGGGUAAUUUUGCUAAUGUAUAGUUAUGAAUGCAAGAAUAUUUUUAUUAUGGAGAAAUUGUUAUUUUUAUACAGGAAUUUUUAUAUUAUUAUGCAA